rnacentral:sRNA from 1 species
UAAUAAAAUUAAUUCUCGUGAAAUGUAAUAUAGCCCCUGAAUGGAUGCUGAUUUUCGAUUCAGUUUUUCGAUUUAGAUUUUAGUUUUAGAUUUUUGUUUAAAAAAUUCAAAA